CCAUAGCAUUGUGGACCCACCUGAUUCCAUGCCGAACUCAGAAGUGAAACACAAUAGCGCCGAUGGUAGUGUGGGGUUUCCCCAUGUGAGAGUAGGACAUCGCCAGGC
rnacentral:rRNA from 2 species